UGAAUGCGUUUCAUACCCGUUUAAAUACACUGUUUAGCUAUUUAAAUGCAUUGUUUAUCUAUUUAAAUGCAUCGUUUAUCUAUUUUACAUGCAUCGUUUAUCUAUUUUACAUUUAGCUAGAUCAUCCUAUCUGUUUUAUAUAGAUUUGAACUAUCGCAUAUCUAAGGUCAAUUUAAACCAUUGCACGUCUAUCUUGGGUCAAUUUAAACCAUUGCACAUCUAUCUUGGGUCAAUUUGAAUCAUCACGUGUCCAUUUCAGAUCAAUAUCUAUUUUAUGUUGAUUUCAAUCAUGGCAUCUCUAUUUUACAUCAAUUUGAAUACAUUUAUAUCUAUUUUACAUCGAUUUAAUGAUGUUUGUAUUGAAGGUUCCAAAUUUAUAUCUGUUUUAUGUUGAUUUAAAUACGUUUUAUAUCU